rnacentral:lncRNA from 1 species
AGCAGGAGCAGAAGCAGAAGCAGCAUCAGAAUCAGCAUCAAUGUUGGCUUUCAAUCCCUGGACUAAUUUUUAGCAGUUAAGUUUAUCUAUCUUACUAUCACUACUGCUACUUAUAGAUAUACAUAUGUAGUAUUGAUUUGUUCAUAUGUAGCUGCUUAUUAAGAUCAGUCCUGUAUAUAUAUGCUAGUGUUUUGUGAUUGAUCCGAUGAGCAUCGAUUUACUGGAAAUUAAAUAACUACACUUGCUAGGGUUCUACUGGAAUUCAACUUUCAGUAUUAGGUUUCCAAAUUAAAACUUUUUCAGUGCUUAAUCUAUUAGACUAUAUGUGUGGUCCAAAAUCUAUGGUGGGCGAGGCUAAUUUUAUUUAGGCUUCAUUACCCUUUUCAUUAUGUAUGGCAACCUAAAGCAUCUCAUUUUCAAGUACAUGAACUGAUAAUCAAGAGAUUUAGGGUUGUUCUAUUCUUUGGAGAAAUAUUAUUAUAGGAUUAAUAUGUUAGAGGAUGUGAUUCUGAUUGACUAAAAGACUUUACUACUAACAACCCUUCCUUUCUUUUAGGUUGAGGAUUAAACUCUGAGAAGAAACUGAAACUUUAAUAAUUACUUUGUCCCUAAAGUUUUGACUUUUUAAAACUUCUCUUUGAUUCAAAACUGAUAUGAAUUCAUUUGAUCUUAAACAAUACUAUUAUGAAUGUUUAUAAACUAUUAGAAAAUGUUUUUUCUGUUGAUAGGUUAGAUUCUCGAUUGAACGUUAGGAAACCCUCCCAAAAAUGGAGUAUUUCCCCUAUAUCCCAGUGCCUCGACUAGUGCUUUUCCUAAGUGGCGGAUAUUUUGUUUAGGCUUUUACUCAUAUGUAUUCCUCUCUUUGAGUGUGCUAGUAAUAAGCUGGGCAAGUAAAAUCCAUAAAGGCGAGGUAAUUAUUGGAGUUAUUGCUUUCAAAAGUUAUAAUGAAUCGCAUCAAUCUUAAAUUUUAAAAUAUUAAAAAUUCAAAAUUUCUUUUAAUAACUCUUUGACUUUUGAUCUUUGAUCAUCAAAGUGGUGACACCAUUUUAUGUCCCUAAUCAAGAAGCAUGAAAGUCUGUGUUUUCAGAAUUUAUGGUACUUUUCAGUUCCUGUUUUCUGUGUUACUCUCGCGGUUAUCUUUUCUAUAUCAUUUUCUUUUGUGAAUUAUGCCAGAAAGUGUGUGGUCAAUGUGUUUAUAUAAAUGAUUUCUUAAGAUUUCCAAGUUUUUACAUAGGCUGGCAUCAAUAUUUUGUGCCCUUGAGCUAAAUUAUGAGUCAACAACACAUGCCCUCAUAUUCUAUACCUAAAUAUUUUCAUCUUUACUUAUUUUUUUUGUUAUUUUUUUUAUUUUUAGAAAAGUAAAAUUUUGAGUUGCUUCCUCUUCUUUAAGAUUUUGGUUUGAGGAAGGAGAAGGGCAACUCCAAAUAGAACUACUCGUAUGUGUCUUACCAUACCCUUCGUUAAAACGACAUUUUGUUUCUCUUAUUAAUUUGAUUACGAAAUGAUCAGUUUAUAGUUGUCAUCAAACUGUUGUGAAUCGGUAAAUAAAUUGGUUGUACAUCAGUUUUAUUUUAAUGAGUCCCAUGAUCACUAUCGAUGGGAAUUCGAAACAAUAUACAAUUUUUUGUUUGUAGGUGGCACCAGGAUGCUUACCAAAGCUUCUAACUUAUUUGAAAGGAAUCAUUGUUUUGCCACUUGAAUUCUGUAAAAUUACAGAAAAUUUGUCAUGCUUUCCAAUGUGUAUCUGUCCGCAUGCAAAUGUUAUUAGUGUUUGAUUGAUGUGAGAAACAGUAUGAGAGAGCUUCCUUCAGCCCACUCAUGGAAAUGAUAAAGGGGUUGAAUUAGCUGCCGACUCAUUCAUUUAACCACCUAGUAGAAAAGGACAAGUGUUGUGCUACUGUGACUGAGUGAAUGAAGCGGGAGAUAGUUUUCUAUCCUUCCUCCUCUGUGCUUGGACUGAAGGGAGCUCCCUUUUUCUGUUGCCCGCUUUCAUUUUUAUCUUUUUUCUCCCCUUCCUCUUGUAUAAAUUUUUAUCAGUAGCUAUCAACAGAUAUAAAUAACUUGAGAUAUAUGCUGAAACUUUUUCAUUAUAUUUUGCAGCGGAAUCUGCUUAUGCUCUUGUUUGAUUUCUUUGAAGAGGCAACAGUUUCUCUAUUUUUAUUUUUAAUCAAUUUAUUAUUAUCAUAUUUUUUCUUCAUUCUUUGAAUAUUCAUUCUUCCACACAUACCUUCUUUCCCUCCUCCAUACCCUUCAGAUAUUUUUAACAAUGCUUUUUCUAAUUUUUUUUAAUUUUGCCUCCGACUGUAGUCCUUGAAUAAUAAAUGUUUAGUUAAUCACAAGUUAAAUCUUUAUAAUAAAUCAGCAUCAUAGCAUGGUCAUAUUAGAUAGAAUGAUAUUUUUUUUUUCCCUGAUUACUAUGAAUGCUACAAAUGUAACUUUCCGUGGUUUUACCAAUUAGGAAGAGCAAAACCUAACCUUUUGGUUUUUCAGACUAUUUUAUUUGUUUAUUUUGGUAGAAGUUCAUUUAGGUUUAGCUCAACUGGUAAAGGCAUUCAAGGGAAACAUUGAGGUUGCUAUUUCCCCUAGAGGACAAGCUGCGAUAGUAGUUACCUGUGAUUGAAAUCCUUGGUACGAACCAAUAUGCAACAUGGAUAUAUCAGUGAGGUUAGCACAUUGUGAACUGUGUUGAUUCCCUCUCCUCCACAAAAAGAGUCUCAUAUGUAAAAAAAGAAUAUUCUUUUUAUUGAUAGUAAUAUAAAAUGACACAAUAUCCUUGAGUUUUUCAUCAUAUUUUAUGAUCAUGACAACAUUAUUUAAAUAACAAAAUUGUUACUUGUAGGGAUAAAAUGGACAAGAAGACAUCCUUAAUAUUUUGCAAGUGGAACUCUUUUGUUGGAAUGGAGGGAGUAUAAAGCAGUUGCAAUUUUACUCUCUUGUUUUUUUAGCUUACUUAAUUAGACUAUUUGAUUGGUUUUUGACCUAGAGUUGUGUCUAUAUUGAAUAAUUUAGUCUGAAGAAUUUAUUUUAAUUAAUGAUAUUUAUGUUCAUAGUUAGUGCAAAAAGUAGUGUAGUAUCAGUCUAUGGAUAAGUUAAACCCUUCAUCUGCUUAUGUGCUGUUGGACAUUAUGGUUUUGUAAUACUACUAUUCUAAGAUUAGCUUUCCAUUAGAUGAGUUUCUUCUCUGUUCUGUUUUUUUUUAUGAGAGUUGCAAUAAUUAGUGGUGGAUGGUUGUUGGGGGAUGUGAUUUUGCCAAAUUUGGAGUGGUGAAAGUAAGUUGUUAAAUCCCUGUUUUGGAAAUGAGCAUUUUGUUUUAAUUAUUUAAAGUAAUAUGCAUGCAUGCAUGCAUGCAUUUGAUGGAGGGAGGGUGGACAAUUUGUAGGAUUAAGAAUCUUUUUGUAGUAUAAAAUAAGAGAAGGAAGAGAUGUCAGAUUGAUUGUUUUAAUGUGGUCCCAAUUCGUUUGUUUUGCUGUAUUACUAGAAUACUAGUAUAUAAAUUAAUUAAUUAUAUAUACCUCCCUUUCAGAGCUAGGUAUUGUGUGCCUGUUCAAGUCCCCCUCCCCCCCUUCAGAAGAUGGUGGGCCUGGCUGGUAUACUAAAAUAUAUACAGACUAAAAUAAAAUUAAUUUAGAUGAGGAUCAAAUGAUGGUUCCUGUAAAUUCUAUAUAUAUAUAUAUAUGUUCCAUGAAAUGAAA